AGCUUUGUGCAGUGGCUGUAUCAUAGGCAAUGAGGUUUAUCCAAGGCAUGAUUAUUGCUAAUUGAAAACUUUUUCCAAUACCCUGCCAUAACAGAAUCUGCAUUGGCAAUUUUUUGACAGUCUCCAUAGAA
ensembl:snRNA U4 U4 spliceosomal RNA